rnacentral:rRNA from 1 species
UACGGAGGGUGCUAGCGUUGUUCGGAAUUACUGGGCGUAAAGGGCGCGCAGGCGGCUGCUCAAGUCAGGCGUGAAAGGCCUGGGCUCAACCCGGGAAUUGCGCUUGAGACUGGGCUGGCUUGAGUGCGGGAGAGGAUGGUGGAAUUCCCAGUGUAGAGGUGAAAUUCGUAGAUAUUGGGAAGAACACCGGUGGCGAAGGCGGCCAUCUGGACCGCAACUGACGCUGAGGCGCGAAAGCGUGGGGAGCAAACAGG